UGUAACUAACAGUGGUAACCCGAUGAAACCCAUUGAUUCUGUGGUUGAACGGUUGGGCUAAAUGUUGAGGUGGGAGGUGUCUGCGUAGGAUUGUUAGAAACUACAGAUUUUUUUGGCAUAACGAUUGUGACGCCUCGUUUAAUCGUACCGCCAAUCACAAGAAACCAGCGGAAGUCUCCUUCAUUAAAGAAACAGUUGAAGUUUGAUAGAUAACAGUGAGAAAACAUCGGGUGUUGUAGCUGCAUGGAACGUUCGUUGCUUUCAUAAUACAAACAUAAUAUUAACCUGUCACACAUCUAUCACAAGAAACCAGCGGAAGUGACGCUGUCUGUUCGAGUCUUUUAUGGAAAGAGAGAGAGACUGUUGCUCUGCCAGCCCAUCAUGACCCUCACCAUCGUCAUGUGUGGACCAACAACACCUGGUGGACUGCAAAGCUACUGCAGCCCACACCCUGCACCUGUGUGACAGCAGUGUCCAUAGCAACAUCUCCUUAGCAACCACAUUCCUUUCUUAUCUGCUCAUUCCGAAGGUGGGACCAUGAGACAUAAAACAAAGUGACGGAUGUAUGACAGUGUCUUUGUUUUUUAUGUAACUACCUUCUCUCCUAACAUUGGAGAGGCGUCUUUCUACCAUGUCUGUCCAUAAAUGAAGAUAAAGUCUGUGAAAUAAAUAAAUG